AUUGAACGCUGGCGGGAGGCAUAACACAUGCAAGUCGAACGAGUGACUGACGGGUGAGUAAUGUCUGGGAAACUGCCCGAUGGAGGGGGAUAACUACUGGAAACGGUAGCUAAUACCGCAUACCAUCGGAUGUGCCCAGGUGGGAUUAGCUAGGAGGUGGGGUAACGGCUCACCUAGGCGACGAUCCCUCGCUGGUCGGAGAGGAUGACCAGCCACACUGGAAUUGAGACACGGUCCAGACUCCUACGGGAGGCAGCAGUGGGGAAUAUUGCACAAUGUGCGCAAGCCUGAUGCAGCCAUGCCGCGUGUAUGAAGAAGGCCUGCGGGUUGUAAAGUACUUUCAGCGAGGAGGCGUUACACCCAGAAGAAGCAUCGGCUAACUCCGUGCCAGCAGCCGCGGUAAUUC
rnacentral:rRNA from 1 species